GUGGGUAUAGCUCAGGGGUAGAGUGCGUGCUUAGCAUGCAUGAGAUCCUGGGCUCAAUUCCCAGUGCCUCCA
rnacentral:tRNA from 1 species